GCCUCUCUAGGCUCAUGUUCCAGUCAACACUCACAUGGUCAGUCUCUCUCCUUUCAGAAAGUGAAAAGUUUAGAGUUCUAAAGCAAACAUCGAGGCCGAGGACAGGAUGAUCUGCUCAUAGGAGGACUGAGCCACAUCCAGCAAAGGACCCUUUGGCUACGCUCGGAUCCCCUUGUCUAGGCUCUGGGUACUGAGGGGCAGGAUGAAGGCGGUUCUGAACAGCUCUUGUGCUAGGAGAACGUGGAGGGUCAAGCCUCACAGCUCCUACAUGCCUCCCUAGCUGAGCUCUGUGAACUAAGAGAUCCAGCACUCACCUCUGACCUGCGAAUAGACUACAAGCUCCUGUCUGCCGCUGCUCCUAGGUUAAACCCCGGCACACGAUAAACGUUCGUGUGGAAGAAUGAUUGAAUGAACAAAUGUACAACACUGAAGGGCUGGUGUGCACCCAGUAGAAGGCCAAGUGCCGGCAGUCAUUUCAAGUUCCUUGGGAAGUAAGAAGGCACCUGAAUCAUAAAAAUGGAAUAAAAAACUUUAAAUG
rnacentral:lncRNA from 1 species